UACGAGGGGGGCAAGCGUUGUUCGGAAUUAUUGGGCGUAAAGGGUGCGUAGGCGGUUUGAUAAGUCCUGUGUGAAAUCUUCGGGCUCAACUCGAAGUCUGCACGGGAAACUGCGGGGCUUGAGUGUGGGAGAGGUGAGUGGAAUUCCCGGUGUAGAGGUGAAAUUCGUAGAUAUUGGGAAGAACACCGGUGGCGAAGGCGGCUCACUGGCUCAUUACUGACGCUCAGGCGCGACAGCGUGGGGAUCAAACAGG
rnacentral:rRNA from 1 species